UACGGAAGGCAGCAGUGGGGAAUAUUGCACAAUGGGCGCAAGCCUGAUGCAGCCAUGCCGCGUGUAUGAAGAAGGCCUUCGAGUUGUAAAGUACUUUCAGUCGUGAGGAAGGUGUUAAGGUUAAUAACCUUAGCAAUUGACGUUAGCGACAGAAGAAGCACCGGCUAACUCCGUGCCAGCAGCCGCGGUAAUACGGAGGGUGCGAGCGUUAAUCGGAAUUACUGGGCGUAAAGGGCACGCAGGCGGUUAAUUAAGUUGGAUGUGAAAUCCCCGGGCUUAACCUGGGAAUGGCAUUCAAGACUGGUUAGCUAGAGUCUUGUAGAGGGGGUAGAAUUCCAUGUGUAGCGGUGAAAUGCGUAGAGAUGUGGAGGAAUACCGGUGGCGAAGGCGGCCCCUGGGACAAGACUGACGCUCAUGUGCGAAAGCGUGGGGAGCAAACGAGGGAUUAGGAUACC
rnacentral:rRNA from 1 species